rnacentral:rRNA from 1 species
UGCCUAACACAUGCAAGUCGAACGAGAAAGUAGCUUCGGCUAUGAGUAAAGUGGCGAACGGGUGAGUAACACGUGGGCAAUCUGCCCUUGAGAGGGGGAUAACAUGCCGAAAGGUAUGCUAAUACCACAUGAUGUCCUCGAAUCACAUGAUUUGAGGAUCAAACGAUGGUCACUACUUGUAAACUAUCGCUCAAGGAUGAGCCUGCGUACCAUUAGCUAGUUGGUAGGGUAACGGCCUACCAAGGCUCCGAUGGUUAGCUGGUCUGAGAGGACGACCAGCCACACUGGAACUGAGACACGGUCCAGACUCCUACGGGAGGCAGCAGUGGGGAAUCUUGGACAAUGGGGGAAACCCUGAUCCAGCAACGCCGUGUGAGUGAUGAAGGUCUUCGGAUCGUAAAGCUC